GACAGAGGUGCCGAGCGUUAGGCGGAAUCACUGGGCUUAAAGCGUGUGUAGGCGGAUUCCUAAGUACCUUGUGAAAUCCCACGGCUUAACCGUGGAACUGCUUGGUAUACUGGGUGUCUUGAGCCAACUAGGGGCAGUCGGAACAAACGGUGGAGCGGUGAAAUGCGUAGAUAUCGGGAGGAACACCGGUGGCGAAGGCGGGUCUCUGGGCAAUUCCUGACGCUGAGGCGCGAAAGCGUGGGGAGCAAACGGG
rnacentral:rRNA from 1 species